rnacentral:rRNA from 1 species
GUGAGGAAUUUUCCGCAAUGGGCGAAAGCCUGACGGAGCAAUGCCGCGUGAAGGAUGAAGGCCUAUGGGUUGUAAACUUCUUUUCUCAGAAAAGAAUUAUGACGGUAUCUGAGGAAUAAGCAUCGGCUAACUCUGUGCCAGCAGCCGCGGUAAGACAGAGGAUGCAAGCGUUAUCCGGAAUGAUUGGGCGUAAAGCGUCUGUAGGUUGUUUAAAAAGUAUUCUGUCAAAGAUUAGGGCUUAACCCUAGAUAGGCAGAAUAAACUUUUAAGCUAGAGUUUGGUAGAGGCAGAGGGAAUUCCCGGUGGAGCGGUGAAAUGCGUAGAUAUCGGGAGGAACACCAAAGGCGAAGGCACUCUGCUGGGCCAAUACUAACACUGAGAGACGAAAGCGUGGGGAGCAAACAGGAUUAGAAACCCUGGUAGUCC